CAGCUUCACAGAUCUGGAGACAGAGGUUCAGAAAUUCCUCUGACCUAUUGAGGAACUAGAGCCUAGCUCCAUGACUCUCUAGUUCUGUAAGGGUCCAUAAACCUCUUAACUGCUUCAUGUCAUUGUUCCUCUAUUUCCACAGAAAGAGUAGGAGCCGGGUCCACGAGAGAAUGGGGCUUAUGAGGAAAAGUGGAGCUGGGGAGACUGCCCUCCUCUCUGUCCAAAUCUAUAGAGAAAGAAAUCGCAGAAGAUGGAGGAAGUGUGGCUAAGGUAGAGAGAAAGACUAGGCUCCAUGGGGCCAUGAGGAAAGAGAGGUGGAGUUGGGAGCCUAGAAAGAAGUCCUGGAGCUUCAUGAGAGGAAUUUCUGGAAACGUCUCUGAUUCUUGGUAGAGAUUCAAACUUCAGUCAAUCUGGCUUUAAGGACCAGCCCACCACUUACCCUGUCCUCUGUCAAAGGACAUCAAUAAUCGACCACAGCACUCAUGCCUUUAGGCCUGGAAAGAGUUUCAGCCUUCAGACUCCAGGAAGCCCUGCCAAUCAAUCAGAGUUGACUGCUAGAUAAAAUCUAUUCGUCAUUCCUUCUAUUCACCAUGCUAUCAAAAGAAGUCAAAGAAGUCCCCUGUCUUUGAAGUGUGGACAACCUACUUAAGGAAAUGACAAGGACAGAGGAAACAAGUGAAAAUAUACAUUCCUAGAAUCUGCUGGAUGAACUUGGUUAAAAAUUCUGGACGGAAGAAAAAGACCACCCCACCCCAUGGGGCCAGGCAAUGAAGGCAAUUAGCUGUGCUUUGAGAAACUAGUAAGUCCUUGCUUUCUUAGCUUAAACUUCUAGAAUGCUUUAUGAUUUACAAAGCAGCAUCACUUUGCUCUCAAAACUACCUCACCAGACAGCUGGGCACCUUGUAAAUGCAUAAAGCAUUAAAUUCUUAGCAGUUUUAGUGGUUCAUAAAUUUUUUAAGUAGGAAAUCAUUUUUGCAAGUAAUUUCCUUUACAAGUCUCAUGCCCCUCCUUUCUAUUUUCCUAUUUUGUUGCACCAGCCAGACUCUCAGAGCCUCGCUACUCAAUGUAUGGCCUAUGAACCAGCAGCAGUGGCCUCCCCUGGAAGCUGGCUGAAAAGGCAAAAUCUUAGGCUCCAUCUCAAAAUUCUCAGAAUCUGCACUUAACAUGAUCCUCAGGUGAUUCACACACACAUUAAAAUGAGAGAAACAUUACUCUGUGCCUGCUAAGUCAUCUCAGUCAUGUUCGACUCUUUGUGACCCUAUGGACUGUAGCCUGUGAGGCUCCUCUGUCCAUG
rnacentral:lncRNA from 1 species